GAGUUGCUGGCCACAUCUUCACAGUUUCAGUGACAAAGUCGUCACACCCGUGAACUGUAAACUAAUCUCAAAAACCAUCACAAAAUCGAUCCACCCUUGCCUCAUUUAAAAUAUGGCUUUAAACAUGGCAUGCAUUGGAUCUUCAGAGCCAUAAAAUUAAUUAGAAUGUUUUUAAUUGUGUUUUAGUUCUAUUUACCAUGUGUUUCACUGCUUCACUUUGGCUUGAUUGCAUUGCAGGCUGCAGACGACGCACACAAUACACAGCACACCUGCAUGGGAACCAAGCUGACGAGUACAAUCCCAGAGAGGAAACCACGGCAAGGCUGUCACAAUAAAUAUGUUGGCGAGGAUGAUCCCCUGCCUCAACAAGCCCAUCAAUUUUGUCAGACUGAACACCACAUCACUCUAGUGUGGUGCGCAAGACCAAACGUGUCAACUCGCAGCACUGCAGUCCAGGUGGAACCAUGGGAACAGCAGUGUUGAUGGAAGUGCACAAGAAGAUGAAAGUAUGAAGCAGCUUCACAAGGCGGUAGCCACUGUCCUGGAGUGACCCUGAGCAAGCUUGCCCAUGACUGAACCAUCAAAGAUGCUUUGAUGAAAGACAUCCCAAGGGAUCGGGUCUCCUCUAUCAGUUUAGCAUUUGACUGCCAUGCUGCUGCGGGACUUGUGAAUCAAGAAGCCUAUGUCGUAAGCAGUGUUAAUCCAUGUGUGCUGGUAUGCUCAAGGACCACAAGCCAUUCGACAGUUUUGGUCGGGCUUCCGCAGCCGCUCUGCCUACGCAGGAAACCCACGGAAGCAACAGUUUGCGUGCGCAGUACGUAGAGGCAUGCAUAGUCCCGUGUGUGUGCCCGCAGCUUUUCAAAAGCUGCGCGACGUUUGCUGCAGGCUUUGUAGGACGUUCUCGCAGCUCUUACUGAAGAUUUGACUCUGGCUUGCGGUUCGACUUCGUGGCGGCUGAUAUUGGCCGCACAGUUUCAGAAGCUGAUAUAUGGCAGCGCUGAGUAGCUCACUACCGGCACCUGCGCAUGCAAGUCAGCAGUCCCCUUCUAAACUUUUGCGUCCGGCAAACUAUUGCCAUUUCGUGUGCGCAUGCUUUGCUACGUACGCACGACCUCACGCGCUGCGUACAUUGGAGGUUGCGGACACCCAACUAAAACUGUAUUAUCAUUUGCUAAUAAAGGCGAAAGUACCUGAUUA
rnacentral:lncRNA from 1 species